rnacentral:miRNA from 1 species
ACGAAUAUGCUCGCCACCACAGAAACAUAACUAAAUAUAUUGUAUUUAUUGUAUUUUUAUGAUUUAUGACAAAACUAUGCAAAUAUUUAUUGUUUUUAAUAUAAAUCAUAAAAAUACAAUAAAUACAAUAUAUUUAGUUAUGUUUCUGUGGUGGCGAACAUAUUCGU